AUUGAACGCUGGCGGCGUGCCUAACACAUGCAAGUCGAGCGGUAACAGGUGUAGCAAUACAUGCUGACGAGCGGCGGACGGGUGAGUAACGCUUGGGAAUCUGCCUAUUAGUGGGGGACAACCCGGGGAAACUCGGGCUAAUACCGCAUGCGCUCUACGGAGGAAAGCCGGGGACCGCAAGGCCUGGCGCUAAUAGAUGAGCCCAAGUCGGAUUAGCUAGUUGGUAGGGUAAGGCCUACCAAGGCGACGAUCCGUAACUGGUCUGAGAGGACGACCAGUCACACCGGAACUGAGACACGGUCCGGGACUCCUACGGGAGGCAGCAGUGGGGAAUAUUGGACAAUGGGCGCAAGCCUGAUCCAGCCAUGCCGCGUGAGUGACGAAGGUCUUCGGAUUGUAAAACUCUUUUGGCGGGGACGAUAAUGACGGUACCCGCAGAAUAAGCCCGGCUAACUUCGUGCCAGCAGCCGCCGU
rnacentral:rRNA from 1 species